GACGAACGCUGGCGGCGUGCUUAACACAUGCAAGUCGAGCGGUAAGGCCCUUCGGGUACGACGAGCGGCGAACGGGUGAGUAACACGUGGGUGACCUGCCUCUGGCUCUGGGAUAAGCCUGGGAAACUGGGUCUAAUACCGGAUAUGACUCCACGGCGCAUGUUGUGGGGUGGAAAGCCUUGUGCGGCUAGAGAUGGGCCCGCGGCCUAUCAGCUUGUUGGUGGGGUGAUGGCCACCAAGGCGACGACGGGUAGCCGGCCUGAGAGGGCGACCGGCCACACUGGGACUGAGACACGGCCCAGACUCCUACGGGAGGCAGCAGUGGGGAAUCUUGCGCAAUGGGCGAAAGCCUGACGCAGCGACGCCGCGUGAGGGAUGACGGCCU
rnacentral:rRNA from 1 species